GAUGAUUUGCGGGUGGGUGUGUGUGUGAGAAAGAGAUUACAUUUUGACAUGUAUGCUUGAGUCACUUUUAUUGCCUCAGAGACUGUAUUUGGCUGCAGCAGAUAAGUUAAGAACAUCCACUCUCCAAAGACUCAUUGUUACACAGAGGCAUUCACUUGCAUCUGCAGAGGAACGAAAACUGCGGCUGGCUUUUUGUAGUACCUUCUAACACAUGCAUUUGAGUCUGAAAGAACACAGCUACACCGCACAUACAGCCAACAGGAUCAAGAAAAGUCGAGGUCAUUGCUCACACAGUUGAGAGUCAAGUCCAUCAUGAAAGCUGGAGUGGUUUUAAUCGGUUUCCUCCUCAGCACAGACAUCUACAUGACUGAAGGGAUACCUUUAGUUCAGUGCCGCUGCGCUAAAACAGUGGAUUAUAUACACCCUAAUUUAGUCAUUCACUGUAAACGGUACCCUCCUCGUGCAUACUGCUCCAAGGAAAAUGUAAUUGUGAUGUCGAAGAAAGGAAGAUCAGUCUGUCUUACCCCAAAUGGGAGCUUCGUAACAGGACUAAACAACGGACAAAUCAAAAUAAAAUGUGAUUAGAAUCAACACUCGUGAUUCUUUCCCCACUGGCCACUCAUUUCUGUGCACCCAAAACUGUACCAAACCCCCUGCUAUGCCUCUAAUAGUUUGUCUCUGAAGCUGAGCAAUGUGGACAGGCCAAUCUUGAAUGGAAGAUCCUAACAAGAAAAAAUGAAGACUGUAGUAUUACAAUAAUUGCAAGAAUGUUAUUGAAGUGGGAUUUAUUCAAAUAUAUACUGUAUAUUUAACUUGAUUUGUAUUUUUCUCACAUUGUACGACAAAUUAACAAGUUAGAGAAUAACAGCCUGCAGAAUUACUGAAAUGUCAGAUGUAAAUAACUUUACACAGACCUCAUCUUACUGUCCUGAUGAAUAAUACAUAUGUUUCUGUUGAUGUCACAAAUGAGUAACUUGUAGAGUUUGUCAUGAAUUUUUUUUUUAUUAUGACUGUGAAAACCUAGUAGUAAUACAUACCUGUUAUCUGAUUAGGAGGCUUAUUAAAAGUAAGAGCAAUUUAGCGGUCAAGAAAAAUGUAAUGUUCCUCUUACAUAAAAUGUGUUUUAUUCAAAGUA